AUUGAACGCUGGCGGCAGGCCUAACACAUGCAAGUCGAGCGGGCGGCGGACGGGUGAGUAAUGUAUGGGGACUGCCCGAUAGAGGGGGAUAACUACUGGAAACGGUAGCUAAUACAGCAUACUAUCGGAUAACCCAUAUGGGAUUAGCUAGUAGUUGAGGUAAUGGCUCACCAAGGCCACGAUCCCUAGCUGGUCUGAGAUGAUGAUCAGCCACACUGGGACGGAGACACGGCACAGACUCCUACGGAGGCAGCGGUGGGGAAGAUUGCACAAGUGGCGCAAUCCUGGUCCAGCCAUGCCGCGUGUAGGAAGGAGGCCCUAGGGUUGUAAAGUACUUUCAGUCGUGAGGCGUUACCGACAGAAUAAGCACCGGCUAACUCCGUGCCAGCAGCCGCGGUAAUUC
rnacentral:rRNA from 1 species